CAGUUCACCCCCAAACUUCUCGCAAUAAAAAUACCCUCUGUCUUACUGCGUGAGGGAAAAGCUGAUUGAUCUAUUUUCAAUUCAAGCUCAAAAAUCAAACUUAUCUAAAAGCUCAAUGGAUGGGAGGCCAGGGAAGGAAUGGAAAUGCUCAAAAUGCUCAAAAACAUUCAAUUUCUAGUCUCGAUUUACCAGGCAUCUCAUCACUCACGACCCCGACGCCAAAGCGAAAUGCAAGAUAUGCGGGAUCGCUUCGAAAAAUCCAGCCGCCUUACAAUCUCACAUGUGGAGUUUUCACACCAACCAGGAACGGCCCACCUGUGGCAUUUGUUACCGGGUGUGUCAUAACUCUAGAACUUUAGCGAAACAUAUCGAAAACAUUCACAGCACGAGUGAACGGCCCCGUUUGCCAUGUGGAUUUCCCGGUUCUGAGAAAACCUUUUUAAACAAGGGACACAUUUCGCGACACGUGAAUAGUGUCCACGCCCAGAACCCGGCCCGUUUUCCGUGCACAAUUUGCGGGAAAAACUUCAAAGAGAACACAAAUCUUGAGGGUCACAUUUCCACCCACACGACCGAGAAGCCCUUUAAGUGUGCCACAUGUGGGAGGCGUUUCGCCCGCAGGAGUGACAUGAAUAG